GAUGAACGCUGGCGGCGUGCUUAACACAUGCAAGUCGAACGGAAAGGCUCCUGCUUGCAGGGGUACUCGAGUGGCGAACGGGUGAGUAACACGUGGGUGAUCUGCCCUGCACUUCGGGAUAAGCCUGGGAAACUGGGUCUAAUACCGGAUAGGACGAUGGUUUGGAUGCCAUUGUGGACAGUUUUUCGGUGUGGGAUGAGCUCGCGGCCUAUCAGCUUGUUGGUGGGGUAAUGGCCUACCAAGGCGUCGACGGGUAGCCGGCCUGAGAGGGUGUACGGCCACAUUGGGACUGAGAUACGGCCCAGACGCCUACGGGAGGCAGCAGUGGGGAAUAUUGCACAAUGGGCGCAAGCCUGAUGCAGCGACGCCGCGUGGGGGAUGACGGCCUUCGGGUUGUAAACUCCUUUCGCUAGGGACGAAGCGCAAGUGACGGUACCUGGAGAAGAAGCACCGGCUAACUACGUG
rnacentral:rRNA from 1 species